rnacentral:rRNA from 1 species
AGAGUUUGAUCCUGGCUCAGAAUCAACGCUGGCGGCGUGCCUAACACAUGCAAGUCGAACGAGAAAGCGGGAGCAAUCCCGUGAGUAAAGUGGCGACCGGGUGAGUAACACGUGACUAACCUACCUUCAAAUGGGGAAUAACCUCGGGAAACCGGGGCUAAUACCGCAUAACAUCGCAGCCGUAAAGGCGGCGAUCAAAGCAGCAAUGCGUUGGAAGAGGGGGUCGCGGCUGAUUAGCUAGUUGGUGAGGUAACGGCUCACCAAGGCAGUGAUCAGUAUCCGGCCUGAGAGGGCGCACGGACACACUGGAACUGAAACACGGUCCAGACUCCUACGGGAGGCAGCAGUGGGGAAUUUUGCGCAAUGGGGGAAACCCUGACGCAGCAACGCCGCGUGGAGGAUGAAGUCCCUUGGGACGUAAACUCCUCUCGAACGGGACGAUUAUGACGGUACCGUAUGAAGAAGCCCCGGCUAACUUCGUGCCAGCAGCCGCGGUAAUAC